AUACGGAUGAUCCGAGCGUUAUCCGGAUUUAUUGGGUUUAAAGGGUGCGUAGGUGGACAGGUCAGUCAGGGGUGAAAGUUUGCAGCUUAACUGUAAAAUUGCCUUUGAUACUGCUUGUCUUGAGUGCAAAUGAGGUAGGCGAAAUGCGUUGUGUAGCGGUGAAAUGCUUAGAUAUGACACAGAACUCCGAUUGCGAAGGCAGCUUACUGGGAUGCAACUGACACUGAGGCACGAAGGCGUGGGGAUCAAACAGGAUUAGAUACCCUGGUAGUCCACGCAGUAAACGAUGAAUACUAGCUGUUUGCGAUAUAUUGUAAGCGGCACAGCGAAAGCGUUAAGUAUUCCACCUGGGGAGUACGUUCGCAAGAAUGAAACUCAAAGGAAUUGACGGGG
rnacentral:rRNA from 1 species